rnacentral:rRNA from 1 species
CAGCCAUCCUUGAAAGAGUGCGUAAUAGCUCACUGGUCAAGUGAUCGUGCGCCGACAAUGUAGCGGGGCUCAAGCACACCGCCGAAGCCGCGGACCCAUGACGUUGUUCCCUUCAUCGUGCGCCGUGUGCGUGUGGUGGCAGGGGUUGUGGGUGGUAGGGGAGCGUCCUGCACCGGGGGAAGCCUGUGGGUGACUGCUGGUGGACGGUGCGGGAGUGAGAAUGCAGGCAUGAGUAGCGAUACUAGGGUGAGAAGCCCUAGCGCCGAAUGACCAAGGGUUCCAGGGCCAGGCUAGUCCGCCCUGGGUGAGUCGGGACCUAAGGCGAGGCCGACAGGCGUAGUCGAUGGAUGACGGGUUGAUAUUCCCGUACCGGCGAAGCACCGCCCAUGCUGACGCGCGGGUGCUAACCCACGCCCAGCCACCAAGUUCAGCCGCGCCUGUCAGGUUCGCCUGACGGUGUGGUUGUGGUGGUGGGGUCUGGGGACCCUCCGUGCAGGUAGGCAAGCGUGUUAACAGGGGUGACGCACAGUGGUAGCCCGGCGGACCUGAUGGCUUGGUCCGUUCAAGCGCGCAGCCCGUCCUCCAGGCAAAUCCGGAGUGACUGCCUCCUUGAGGGGUGAGGGUGAGGCGUGAUGGUGACCCCACGCUGGUGGGGGAUAACAGGGUGAUCCUGGGGUGCCGAGAAAAGCCUCGACGCGAUGGUGCCAGCCGCCCGUACCCUAAACCGACACAGGUGGUCGGGCAGAGUAUGCCUAGGCGCACGAGUGAAUCAUGGUUAAGGAACUCGGCAAAAUGCCCCCGUAACUUCGGGAGAAGGGGGGCCUGAUCCCUGAAGCCCCUUUGCGGGCUAGGGGGGAGGGUCGCAGAGGCCAGGGGGAAGCGACUGUUUACUAAAAACACAGGUCCGUGCGAAGCCGUAAGGCGAUGUAUACGGACUGACGCCUGCCCGGUGCUGGAAGGUUAAGAGGAACCAUCAACCCCCUUGUGGGGUGAAGUGGUGAAUUUAAGCCCCAGUAAACGGCGGUGGUAACUAUAACCAUCCUAAGGUAGCGAAAUUCCUUGUCGGGUAAGUUCCGACCUGCACGAAUGGCGUAACGACUUCCCCGCUGUCUCAACCAUGAGCUCGGCGAAAUUGCAGUACGAGUAAAGAUGCUCGUUUCGCGCAGAAGGACGGAAAGACCCCGGGACCUUUACUACAGCUUGGUAUUGGCGCCCGCUAUAGCUUGUGCAGGAUAGGUGGGAGACUGUGAAGCCGUUACGCCAGUGGCGGUGGAGUCGUCCUUGAAAUACCACUCUGGUUAUGGCGUGCGCCUGAACCUGGGCCCGUGAUCCGGGUUAGGGACAGUGCCUGGUGGGUAGUU